rnacentral:lncRNA from 1 species
AGAUACAGUCACUACACCAACCUGGAUCCCGAUGAAGUGUCUCACAAGCCUGCUCAUGGUAUUCUCAGACUCAGUCACACAGGAACUGCUUCUGAGGAGGUUUCCCUGAAGAUACAGUCAAAACAUCUUCCUGGUGAGUCUGACAGUGCUGUUAGUGAAUUUGCAUCCAAGUACUACAGCCAUGCUUCCUCUCUGCAUCCUGAGAAGCUGACAAUGGAGGAGACCACUUCCCUGAGCUUAUGGUAUUGUAAAGCCAACUGUUUACUCAUUUCAUUUAGAUUGUUGGUUACUCAUGUAAGUAAUGAGACUGAAAUUCACAUUUAGUUAUAUUCAGGAUUUUCUGAAUUAUUAGACCUACGUACAUUACUGGAUUACUGACUGCUUCAUUUGACAUCAGGUUAUGUCUUUUCACAAAAGUAAUAAAAAUGUUGUUUAUAUGAUCUGCACAUGUCCUACUUCCAUAUAUAAUAAUGUCAUACAUUCUAUAUGUUGGAAAGUUUUAUUUUAAUUAUUAACUCAUUUAUCACAAAGAUUAUAGUAUGUUUUUUAUAACCUCAGAAGAGACAAACACCCAUACUAUCACCCUCAUUACUGAGGGAAAUGGCAUACAAGGGACAGUAGCAAGAUUCAAGGGACACAUAUAACACACAAACCUACCCUACUGCGAUAUCCAGGGUAUGCAGGACACAGUGAUAACCUCCCCAUUAGAUGACAGGUAGAUCUCAUUGACAAGCAUGAAUUUUAUGAACUUCUACAACCAUGAUGAGACCCACCCAGAUGACCCAUUUACAAAGAGUUUUCAGAUACCAAAUUUUCAGGUAUGUGCCUUUAUAGCCAUCCUAUUUGAGAAUAAGAUAUGAGCAGAGUCUCCAGUUUUAAUCAGUAUGGUGUGAGGCUGUGACAUUCACUAAUAGGGUUUAUCAGGAAACACUAAAUAGCAUUCCUGUUUCCAAGCCCAUGAGUUGAGUUCCUAGAGAUCUGGUCAAGAUUGCAAAGUUUAUGCAUAUAAGGACAGCUCAUGUUACUUUGUGAGAGCAUAUUAGGUGAGCUGUAUAGAAACCAAUCCUGAGAUUAUUCAAAAAGGUGGAACAAGGCAGCAUUAGUUACGAUCUUUAAGUUUUAGGAAAUAAACAAGGAUAACAUUGUGUGUUGGGAAACAAUACAUGCAUGGAGUCAUUGCUGGAAAGGGCUUCAUAUUCUCAGCAACACUCCAUUUGAAAAUCUGAUUGUCCUUUCCCCCACAGAUAUGAACUACAAAUAAAGUCCUGGAUAGGAGUUGAUCUUUGUGGUCCAAGAUGUAAUAAUGCUGGGAUUCAUCUGGUUUAAACAAUGUUAAUUUUUUUUGUAAAUCUCAUUGUAAAAUCUUUCUAAAAUAUUUACAUAUGUGAGAGUAAUUUUAAUGCAGUCCCAUAUAUAAUGGACACAAUUCCCUAGCUAGACAUCUUAUGUCACAAAGUAAUACCCCAGUGGUAUAAGUGUGUUGUAUAUUGGGCAGCCAUUAGGUCUAAAAUUUUUGGCUUAUACUUAUUUAUCAUUAUGGAAUAAUACAAUUAUAUAUUUAUCUUUUGAUUGCUCAUUCUAUUAAUCAAUUCUCUUAUAUUUGUGUUUGGGAUGAUGUCUUGAUAUUUAAUAACUCAUCAAAGGCCUUGUCAGAGAAGAAUUCUCUUUCUCAUUCUCAACAUUCAUUAGUUUCCUGUAGCAACUGAAGAUUUUGAGAUAUCUGACAUCCACACUGGCAUGAAAACAUGUGCUGUCAUUUUGUUAACGUUCUUUAGGUAUCUGUAUUGUUGAGAUUUUUAUGGAUGCAUCAUUCACAUUAUAAAUAGAAGCUACUUUUUUGUAGCACUCAAAUCUACAUUAUUGACCAGAAAUACCAUGAGACAUUCAUAUGUGUCUUGGAGCUAUAAUGAGUCUAAGUCCUGUUAAGGGCUAAGAUUUGCAAAAUGAUGGCAACUAAGGAAGAUGACACAUACAUCAAGUUUACUUACAACUUUUGUAGCAGUAUAAUUAUUUGCAUUUUGGCCUCAGAAAAUGAAUGAGAAAGGGUACUACUUGUGUUUUGAGAUGUCCUGCUAUUCAACUAUAUUUUCAUGAAUGAAAAAUAUAUUGGAAAAUUAUUUUCCAUUAAACUUUAAUUUGACUUUAAACUAUUUUACAUCUCUAGCUUUAAAUUGAACAUUAACACCAUAUACAGAAGUAUAUAUAAUGGGAGUUAUGAAUUAGAUUUCUCCUCCAAGCUUGUUCAAGCGAAUUACAUUUGUAUGUAUCUGGGUUACAAAUGUAGUUCUAAGCACAUUAAAUAAUUUCAUCAUUUAUAUGUUGACUGACCAUUUCUUGUUACCUUUUAGAAAAUGUUUCAGCAAAUUAGUAAUUCAAAUAAAAUUUGGAUUUACUAAUUCAUUCUUGCUACAUUACUUCAGCCUCAAAAAUUAUAGCAUUUGAUUGAAGCUUUUUUUGUAAUAAAAUAAGCUUUAAAUGAUAAAUAGA